rnacentral:pre_miRNA from 1 species
UGUAAAACUGCUGGGUCAAAAGGUAAAUGAAUGUUUAUUUAAGAAACUGUCCAACUGCUUUCCAAAGUGGCUGUAUCAUUUUGCAUUCCUAGCAGAAAU